UUAGUGUUUCUUCAUUUUUUUUUGGAAUUUUUCCUGGAUUUUUGUUGUUGAAGGUUGAUGGAAAUGAUAUGAAGAUGAAAAACAGGAGAAG
rnacentral:pre_miRNA from 1 species